rnacentral:rRNA from 1 species
GACGAACGCUGGCGGCGUGCUUAACACAUGCAAGUCGAACGGAAAGGCCCUGCUUUUGUGGGGUGCUCGAGUUGCGAACGGGUGAGUAACACGUGAGUAACCUGCCCUUGACUUUGGGAUAACUUCAGGAAACUGGGGCUAAUACCGGAUAGGAGCUCCUGCUGCAUGGUGGGGGUUGGAAAGUUUCGGCGGUUGGGGAUGGACUCGCGGCUUAUCAGCUUGUUGGUGGGGUAGUGGCUUACCAAGGCUUUGACGGGUAGCCGGCCUGAGAGGGUGACCGGCCACAUUGGGACUGAGAUACGGCCCAGACUCCUACGGGAGGCAGCAGUGGGGAAUAUUGCACAGUGGGAGGAAGCCUGAUGCAGCAACGCCGCGUGCGGGAUGACGGCCUUCGGGUUGUAAACCGCUUUCGCCUGUGACGAAGCGUGAGUGACGGUAAUGGGUAAAGAAGCACCGGCUAACUACGUG